rnacentral:rRNA from 1 species
GAUGAACGCUAGCGGGAGGCCUAACACAUGCAAGCCGAGCGGUAUUUGUCUUUCGGGACAGAGAGAGCGGCGUACGGGUGCGGAACACGUGUGCAACCUGCCUUUAUCUGGGGGAUAGCCUUUCGAAAGGAAGAUUAAUACCCCAUAAUAUAUUGAUUCGCAUGGAUUGAUAUUGAAAACUCCGGUGGAUAGAGAUGGGCACGCGCAAGAUUAGAUAGUUGGUGAGGUAACGGCUCACCAAGUCAGUGAUCUUUAGGGGGCCUGAGAGGGUGAUCCCCCACACUGGUACUGAGACACGGAGCAGACUCCUUCGGGAGGCAGCAGUGAGGAAUAUUGGACAAUGGGUGAAAGCCUGAUCCAGCCAUCCCGCGUGAAGGACGACGGUUCUAUGGAUUGUAAACUUCUUUUAUAUAGGGAUAAACCUACUUACGUGUAAGUAGCUGAAGGUACUAUAUGAAUAAGCACCGGCUAACUCCGUGCCAGCAGCCGCGGUAA